UGGGGAAUAUUGCACAAUGGGCGCAAGCCUGAUGCAGCCAUGCCGCGUGUGUGAAGAAGGCCUUCGGGUUGUAAAGCACUUUCAGCGGGGAGGAAGGCGAUAAGGUUAAUAACCUUGUCGAUUGACGUUACCCGCAGAAGAAGCACCGGCUAACUCCGUGCCAGCAGCCGCGGUAAUACGGAGGGUGCAAGCGUUAAUCGGAAUUACUGGGCGUAAAGCGCACGCAGGCGGUCUGUCAAGUCGGAUGUGAAAUCCCCGGGCUCAACCUGGGAACUGCAUUCGAAACUGGCAGGCUAGAGUCUUGUAAAGGGGGGUAGAAUUCCAGGUGUAGCGGUGAAAUGCGUAGAGAUCUGGAGGAAUACCGGUGGCGAAGGCGGCCCCCUGGACAAAGACUGACGCUCAGGUGCGAAAGCGUGGGGAGCAAACAGG
rnacentral:rRNA from 1 species